rnacentral:rRNA from 1 species
AACGAACGCUGGCGGCAUGCCUAACACAUGCAAGUCGAACGAGACCUUCGGGUCUAGUGGCGCACGGGUGCGUAACGCGUUGGAACCUGCCCUUAGGUUCGGCAUAACUCCCCGAAAGGGGUGCUAAUACCGGCUAUUGUCUUCGGACCAAAGAUUUAUCGCCUUUGGAUGGGCCCGCGUUGGAUUAGCUAGUUGUUAGGGUAAAAGCCUACCAAGGCGACGAUCCAUAGCUGGUCUGAGAGGAUGAUCAGCCACACUGGGACUGAGACACGGCCCAGACUACUACGGGAGGGAGCAGUGGGGAAUAUUGGAAAAUGGGCGAAAGCCUGAACCAGCAAUGACGGGUGAGUGAUGAAGGCCGUAGGGUUGUAAAGCUCUUUUAUCCGGGAUGAUAAUGACAGUACCGGGAGAAUAAGCUCCGGCUAACUCCGUG